rnacentral:rRNA from 1 species
UAAAACCUUAUUAAAUUGGCGGCAUUUCAUUUUAUUAAAGGAACCUGUUUCAUAAUCGACAAUCCACGAUAAUUUUCACUUAUUUUAUAAAUUUAUAUACCGCCGUCAUAAGAAUUAAUUUUAUAAUAUUUUUCUCUUUAAAAAAUAAAAAGUUAGGUAAAGGUGUAAUUUAUAUUUAAGAGAAAAUGGGUUACAUUAAAUAACAUUUAAGAAUAUAUUUUUUAAAAAUUAUAAUGAAAAAGGAUUUAAAAGUAUUAUUUAAAUAAUAUUUUACUAAG